UACGUAGGGUCCGAGCGUUGUCCGGAAUUAUUGGGCGUAAAGGGCUCGUAGGCGGUUUGUCACGUCGGGAGUGAAAACUCAGGGCUCAACCCUGAGCGUGCUUCCGAUACGGGCAGACUAGAGGUAUGCAGGGGGAGAACGGAAUUCCUGGUGUAGCGGUGGAAUGCGCAGAUAUCAGGAGGAACACCAGUGGCGAAGGCGGCGAGCUGGAUCACUACUGACGCUGAGGAACGAAAGCUAGGGGAGCAAACAGG
rnacentral:rRNA from 1 species